UACCAGCACCCCGAGUGGUCGGGACGAUUAUUGGGCGUAAAGAGCUCGUAGGCGGCUCAGUAAGUCGGGUGUGAAACCCUCAGGCUCAACCUGGGGACGCCACCCGAUACUGCUGUGGCUAGAGUCCAGUAGGGGAGUGUGGAAUUCCCGGUGUAGCGGUGAAAUGCGCAGAUAUCGGGAGGAACACCAGCGGCGAAGGCGGCACUCUGGGCUGGUACUGACGCUGAGGAGCGAAAGCGUGGGUAGCAAACAGG
rnacentral:rRNA from 1 species